AGAACGAACGCUGGCGGCAGGCCUAACACAUGCAAGUCGAGCGGUCGUAGCAAUACGGCAGCGGCAGACGGGAGAGUAACACGUGGGAACGCGCCCUUCGGUUCGGAAUAACUCAGGGAAACUUGGGCUAAUACCGGAUACGCCCUUACGGGGAAAGAUUUAUUGCCGAAGGAACGGCCCGCGUCCGAUUAGCUUGUUGGUGAGGUAAUGGCUCACCAAGGCGACGAUCGGUAGCUGGUCUGAGAGGAUGACCAGCCUCACUGGGACUGAGACACGGCCCAGACUCCUACGGGAGGCAGCAGUGGGGAAUAUUGGACAAUGGGCGCAAGCCUGAUCCAGCCAUGCCGCGUGGGUGAUGAAGGCCCUAGGGUUGUAAAGCCCGUUUCGGCGGGGAAGAUAAGUGACGGUACCGCAGAAGAAGCCCGGCUAACUUCGCGCCAGCAGCCGC
rnacentral:rRNA from 1 species